rnacentral:lncRNA from 1 species
CCACCUCUUCACCGCUUCUUGUAUCCAUUUCAGCUCCAUCCUACCACUUUUCUAAACCGAUUGAACGAUAAUCUCCUUUCGCUCUAAGGUUUAUUACCCCUCUACUUUUAACGAUUAUUGUUCCAAUCCACCUUCACUUAUCGUCUUCUUGACCAUCUCUCUUCACCUUCUACUCUGCCAUCACAGUCUCUCUUACGAGCCUCCUUCCAGUUUUUUCCACCCCUACCUUUUUCGUCUCUUCCGAUCCAUCUUCUUCCCCGAUUUUGCGUCAUCCCUGCAACGUGUUCGUCCUACGGUUCUUAUGCAUUGCAAUCAAUUUAACCCAGUUAUCGCCGCUUUUAAUCUAUCCCACCUCUCUCUAGCCCUCUAAGACCAUCUUACCUCUUUCUUCUUUUGACAGUACAUCACCGAGUCGCUGCCUUCACUUUCCAAUUAGAUCGUCGACCAUCUUCAAAGGCCCUCUGUGUGGACGUGUGGAGUGAUUAAUGGCUGCGGAAGGCUCGCAAGGUAGCACUUCGCUCAUUUUUGGGUUUUAGGGCUUUUUUUGCUAGAUUAAAAUUUUUUGGAUUUCCCGUGGAAUGGGAAUGGACUGUAAUAUGUAUCUCUAUUUCUGGUCAAAGUGGCCUGUUUUUGUUUCGAUUGUGGAAGUAUAAGUUAGUAUACACUAAAUGUAUUGGUUCUUCAAUUUUUAUUUUAGGAUGUUGAAUUUUCUAUUCUUUAGUCAAAAUAGGUAACUGAGUUUAUGAUGACUGUGUAUGUGUUUUGGCUUCAUCUUUUGUAGGAGAAGCGACAAUAGAAAGAGUUUCUAGCUACCACGAGAAGAGCACGUUUCCAUUGAUAAUCUUUGACUCGAACAAACAGAAUGAGAAAAGCUUUCAGCAUGUAAGAUGUCGUUUUUGAAAUACAAAAUGAAUUAAAGAGAAUUUAGUUUUUGAGGAUGUAUGAAUUAAUGGUGUCUAUUUUAUGAAGUAAAUUCUAAUUUUUGAGGAUGUAUGGAUUAAUGGUGUCAAUUUCAUGAGGUUAACUCUAAAUAAACUCCAAAUUUGUAGUCUGCAGUCAACAUUUUCACCUAACAAAAUUUAAUGAGGCUAGGCAGUUGCAAACUGUCGGCCCAUUCCCAUUACAUAUUUACUAAGUUAAAG